CUGGCCGCGAAUUUCACAACACAGGUGGCUUCCUCACAGGAAGCUCCUCUGUAUACCACACCCUGUUGCUACUGAGUGGAGCAGCCAAAUUAAAUUAAGCUUGCAUUGCUCAAAAUUAAUUUUCCUAAGAGAAAUACAAAUACACCAAUAGAUUAGGGUAUUUUAUACAUUUUUAAUUUCAUUUUUGCUCUUCUUUUAUAGCCAGUGUGCACAUGUAAGAGUUAUGGAAUCACUUAGAGCAAUACUGAGCAUUUUCAUUUAUAUAAAACCCAAAUCAUUUGGGUGCAGAAGUUUGGAUGAUUGAAGCUCAGAGGGAAGGAGAAAAGCAUUUGAGAUGAAAACCAAAGAGUAAAUUUGAGUUUGGCAAAAGAACAGAUUGCACUUUUGGUUUGUACCACCUCUUUACAAAUUUGUUAAAGGAAUACUAGGUGCCAAGCCUGUGUGGGCACCAUAGAUAAUGCAGAUAAAUAGAAUACAAUCCCAGCAAGCUCAUCUUCUAGCUAGAAACCUCAGAAAGACACAAAUAAGAGCAGUAAAAAGGGAUUGGCCGGAAAGAAUGACAGAAAAGAGUAAUGGAGAAAUCCUAGAGGUGCUGAAGGGAGAAGGAGAAUAGAUCAAAGAUCAGGCAGUGUUCUUUCUUUUAAAUGAUUAGCCUUUCAUUUCAUCCCAACAACUGGACAGCAAGAUAAGUAACUGGACUUCAAACUAGUGAGUGUAUUUUUAAGGCCCUGCUUGUUAAAGAAAGGCUUGAACUGGCCUCUCCUCAUCACUGCUUCUUCCAACAGGCCCUCAUCACCUUUUUUCAAGUCAAGAUUUCAUCCCAUACAUGCAUGACUCAAUCAGAUUUGGAAAUGUGGGUAAGAGAAAGAUGUCAAAGGAAAUGUGAAGUAUUCACUUCUCUAUUAGUCACACCUUUUACACCAUAGACUCCAAAGAGGCGUUAAGCACCUGGUUUUCCUUUGGCUCAGAAAAACCAACCACCAAAAACCGCCGUUU
rnacentral:lncRNA from 1 species